GUCACUUCCUGCCGUUCUCAAAAUGGCGGCGCGCAGGGUUCUCCGGCUCGGUGCGUCCCGGGGGAGCCCCCGGGAGGGUCCCUGAGGGGUGGGGGAGGGGCAAAAAGGGGUUUAAAAGGGGGGAGGGGUGGUGGGCGUGGCCUAGAGGCGGUGGGCGUGGUUUAACAGCGAUUUUUGGGGCGCUAAUUGGGGUUUUAAGGCAAAGUGGGCGUGGUUUAAGGAGGUGGGCGUGGCUUGCUAACCGCUGUUCCCGCCCCUUAGCGGAGCGCCAGGCGAGAUCGCUCCGCCCCUUGCCCCGCCCACCGCAGCGGAUCGGCCAAUGGCGAGAGGCCCAGGGUCUCUCCCCGAGUCCCUCCGGGCCCGGACCCCUCAGGGACCUCCCGGAUUGGAGCUUUUCGGACGGGCGCCCCUCCCCCCCCUGGCGGGGACAGGAACGGAGAAUCAGCGAGAGCCGAGAGCUGAUGGUGAAAAGGCCCCGCCCCCACCUGAGGCUCCGCCCACUUCUGACCACGCCCCCUCGCCUCAUAAGGAAAGCUUGUAAUAUGCAAAUUUAUGCAAAUGAGAUGGAAAAUAAAAGCGGUUUUGUCGCUACGAAUGCGGACCGGCGGUUACUGGUUUGUACUGGGGGUUACUGGUUUGUACUGGGAGGGACUGGGGGGCAGAUGUGGCUCCGCCCACAUAGUUAAUAUGCAGAUUUAUGCAAAUGAGAUGCGAAAUUUAGAACCUACUCCAUCGCUACAAAUUGGGACUGGGGGUUACUGGUUUAUACUGGUUUGUACUGGGAGGGGGACACGAAGUAUUAGUCCACGCCCACCUUAUUAAAUAUGCAAAUUUAUGCAAAUGAGAUUCGAAAUUUACAACCUAAUCCCUCCCUAGAAACGGGAAUUGGGCGUUACUGGUUUAUACUGGGAGGAACUGGGAGGGGGCGUGGCCACGCCCCUUUCCCAAGUACACCUAAUUAAAUAUGCAAAUUUAUGCAAAUGAGGUGUGAAUUAAAAGUUUUCAGCCUCAAUGCAAAUCAAUAUUGGGCGUUACUGGUUUGUACUGGGAGGAACUGGGAGGGGGCGUGGCCACACCCUUUCCCACGUUUACCUCAUUAAAUAUGCAAAUUUAUGCUAAUUACAUGAGAAAGUCGACGCCAUUGCUGCAAAUUGGGAGGGACAAAGAGCGCCUCUAACCCGCGCUCAUUGAUAUGCAAAUAUAUGCAAAUCCAGCCAGUUCCGUUGUCUCGUUUAUUAAUUAAAGAGAAUUAAUUAAUUAUCCCCCGCCCCGCCCCUCCCCCCCCGGGGGCGGAGCCUUCGCUCGGCCCCUCCCCCCCCUCCCGACCCGCGGGAACAAAAAUUUUGGGAACCGAAAAAGCCCCAAAAAUCCCCGAAAUUACCCCAAAAAAAGACCGAAAACAAAAAAAACGCAAAAAAAUAACAAAGCCACGCCCCCCUGCCUCAUUUGCAUACCCCACUUCCCUCAGCCAAUCAGCGCGGGGAGGGGGCGGGGCCUGUCCCGCAGCACCAAUAAGAGGGGAGGGGCGUGGCCAGUAAAAGGGGGCGUGGCCUAAAGAGUGAAGGGGCGUGGUUAUGCAAAUUAGGAGUGGUCAGGGGCGUGGUUAUGCAAAUUGGGAGUGGUCUGGCGAGUCUGGGGGUGUGGUUAUGCAAAUU
rnacentral:lncRNA from 1 species